GCCUCUGUGGUGUGGUAGUAGUAGCACGUGUCCCCGGCAUGGAUGAAAUGCGGGUUCGACUCCCGCCUGAGGCC